CUUCCUACGGGACGCAGCAGUGGGGAAUAUUGCACAAUGGGGGAAACCCUGAUGCAGCAACGCCGCGUGAAGGAAGACGGUUUUCGGAUUGUAAACUUCUGUUCUUAGUGAAGAAGAAUGACGGUAGCUAAGGAGCAAGCCACGGCUCACUCCGUGCCAGUAGCCGCGGUAAUACGUAGGUGGCAAGCGUUGUCCGGAAUUACUGGGUGUAAAGGGAGCGCAGGCGGGAAGCCAAGUCAGCUGUGAAAACUACGGGCUUAACUUGUAGACUUCCGUUGACACUUGUUUUCUUUCG
rnacentral:rRNA from 1 species